rnacentral:rRNA from 1 species
UACGUAGGGGGCAAGCGUUGUCCGGAAUUAUUGGGCGUAAAGCGCGCGUAGGCGGCUUUGUAAGUUAGAGGUGAAAGCCCGAAGCUCAACUUCGGAAUUGCCUUUAAGACUGCAUCGCUAGAAUCGUGGAGAGGUGAGUGGAAUUCCGAGUGUAGAGGUGAAAUUCGUAGAUAUUCGGAAGAACACCAGUGGCGAAGGCGACUCACUGGACACGUAUUGACGCUGAGGUGCGAAAGCGUGGGGAGCAAAGCAGG